GACGAACCGUGCGAACGUUGUUCGGAAUCACUGGGCUUAAAGGGCGCGUAGGCGGGUGUGCAAGUCUGUGGUGAAAGCCUCCAGCUUAACUGGAGAAGUGCCGUGGAUACUGCACAUCUUGAGGAGGGUAGGGGCAUCUGGAACGGUCGGUGGAGCGGUGAAAUGCGUUGAGUAUCGACCGGAACUCCGGUGGCGAAGGCGAGGUGCUGGACCCUUUCUGACGCUGAGGCGCGAAAGCCAGGGGAGCAA
rnacentral:rRNA from 1 species